rnacentral:rRNA from 1 species
CCUACGGGAGGCAGCAGUGGGGGAUAUUGCACAAUGGGGGAAACCCUGAUGCAGCGACGCCGCGUGUGGGAAGACGGUCCUCUGGAUUGUCAACCACUGUCCCCAGGGACGAAGCUGACGGUACCUGGGGCGGAAGCUCCGGCUAACUACGUGCCAGCAGCCGCGGUAAUACGUAGGGAGCGAGCGUUGUCCGGAAUUACUGGGUGUAAAGGGAGCGUAGGCGGGACUGCAAGUUGGGUGUCAAAUCUACCGGCUCAACCGGUAGCCGCACUCAAAACUGCAGUUCUUGAGUGAAGUAGAGGCAGGCGGAAUUCCUAGUGUAGCGGUGAAAUGCGUAGAUAUUAGGAGGAACACCAGUGGCGAAGGCGGCCUGCUGGGCUUUGACUGACGCUGAGGCUCGAAAGUGUGGGGAGCAAACAGGAUUAGAUACCCCGGUAGUC